GGCGAUAUGGCCGAGUGGUCUAAGGCGCUGUGUUUAGGUAUUUCACCAAUCCGCAGUGGGAAACCGCGCGAGUUCGAAUCUCGCUGUCGUCA